rnacentral:rRNA from 1 species
GAUGAACGCUGGCGGCGUGCCUAAUACAUGCAAGUCGAGCGAAGCGGGGACGGGUGAGUAACACGUGGAUAACCUCCUAUAAGACUGGGUUUACUUCGGGACACCGGAGCUAAACCGGAUACUUAUAGAUGGAUCCGCGUCGCAUUAGCUAGCUGGUAAGGUAACGGCUUAACAAGGCAACGAUGCAUAGCCGACCUGGAAGGGUGAUCGGCCACGCUGGACCUGAGACACGGUCCGUAGUCCGACGGGAGACAGCAGGAUGGAAUCUUCCGCAAUGGGCGAAAUCCUGACGGAGCAACGGCGCAUGUGUGAUGAAGGUCUUCGGAUCGUAAAACACUGUUAUUAGUGAAGCGUUACCUACGCAGAAAGCCACGACUAACUACGGGCCAGCAGCCGCGGUAAUAC